UUGCUUCUGCAGCACAUAUAUUAAAAUUGAAACAAUACAGAGAAGAUUAGCAUGGCCCUUGCACAAGAAUGACAUGCAAAUUCGUUAAGUGUUCCAUAUUUUA
rfam:Erinaceus europaeus unplaced genomic scaffold scaffold00145, whole genome shotgun sequence